rnacentral:rRNA from 1 species
GUAGGUGGCAAGCGUUGUCCGGAAUUAUUGGGCGUAAAGCGCGCGCAGGCGGUUCUUUAAGUCUGAUGUGAAAGCCCACGGCUCAACCGUGGAGGGUCAUUGGAAACUGGAGAACUUGAGUACAGAAGAGGAAAGCGGAAUUCCACGUGUAGCGGUGAAAUGCGUAGAGAUGUGGAGGAACACCAGUGGCGAAGGCGGCUUUCUGGUCUGUAACUGACGCUGAGGCGCGAAAGCGUGGGGAGCAAACAGGGAGUAGAUACCCUGGUAGUCCACGCCGUAGACGAUGAGUGCUAAGUGUUAGGGGGUUUCCGCCCCCCUUAGUGCUGCAGCUAACGCAUUAAGCACUCCGCCUGGGAGUACGGCCGCAAGGCUG